rnacentral:misc_RNA from 1 species
GAUGAAGAACGUAGUGAAAUGCGAAAAGUAAUGUGAAUUGCAGAAUUCAGUGAACCAUCGAAUCUUUGAACGCACAUUGCGCCCGCUGGAACUCCGGCGGGCACGCCUGUCCGAGCGUCAUUUCAACCCUCAGGCCCCCCUUCGCGGGCGGGCCUGGUGUUGGGGCCCGGCCGCUACCCUGCGGCCGUCCCCUAAAUUCAGUGGCGGCCUCGCCGUGAUCCCUUGCGUAGUAAUGCACCUCGCACCGGAGAGCGCCGUGGCCACGCCGUAAAACCCCCAAUUUUCAAUGGUUGACCUCGGAUCAGGUGGGAAUACCCGCUGAACUUAAGCAUAUCAAUAAGCGGAGGA